AGUCACUGACAUUAGAUACCCCUGUAGUCCCAGCCGUAAACUAUGCGCGUUAGGUGUAUCGGUGACCACGAGUUACCGAGGUGCCGAAGGGAAACCGUGAAACGUGCCGCCUGGGAAGUACGGUCGCAAGGCUGAAACUUAAAGGAAUUGGCGGGGGAGCACCGCAACGGGAGGAGCGUGCGGUUUAAUUGGAUUCAACACCGUAAAACUCACCAGGGAAGACUGUUACAUGAAGGCCGAGAUGAAGACUCUGCUAGAUUUUCAG
rnacentral:rRNA from 1 species